rnacentral:rRNA from 1 species
GGGGAAUAUUGCGCAAUGGGGGCAACCCUGACGCAGCCAUGCCGCGUGAAUGAAGAAGGCCUUCGGGUUGUAAAGUUCUUUCGGUAGCGAGGAAGGCACUUAGUUUAAUAAACUAGGUGAUUGACGUUAACUACAGAAGAAGCACCGGCUAACUCCGUGCCAGCAGCCGCGGUAAUACGGAGGGUGCGAGCGUUAAUCGGAAUAACUGGGCGUAAAGGGCACGCAGGCGGUGACUUAAGUGAGGUGUGAAAGCCCCGGGCUUAACCUGGGAAUUGCAUUUCAUACUGGGUCGCUAGAGUACUUUAGGGAGGGGUAGAAUUCCACGUGUAGCGGUGAAAUGCGUAGAGAUGUGGAGGAAUACCGAAGGCGAAGGCAGCCCCUUGGGAAUGUACUGACGCUCAUGUGCGAAAGCGUGGGGAGCAAACAGGAUUAGAUACCCUGGUAGUCCACGCUGUAAACGAUGUCGAUUUGGGGGUUGAGCUUUAAGUUUGGCGCCCGUAGCUAACGUGAUAAAUCGACCGCCUGGGGAGUACGGCCGCAAGGUUA